UACAGAGGGUGCGAGCGUUAAUCGGAAUUACUGGGCGUAAAGCGCGCGUAGGCGGCUUUGUAAGUUAGAGGUGAAAGCCCGGAGCUCAACUUCGGAAUUGCCUUUAAGACUGCAUCGCUAGAAUUGUGGAGAGGUAAGUGGAAUUCCGAGUGUAGAGGUGAAAUUCGUAGAUAUUCGGAAGAACACCAGUGGCGAAGGCGACUUACUGGACACAUAUUGACGCUGAGGUGCGAAAGCGUGGGGAGCAAACAGG
rnacentral:rRNA from 1 species